UCAGGAUGAACGCUAGCGGGAGGCUUAACACAUGCAAGUCGAGGGGCAUCACGAGGUAGCAAUACUUUGGUGGCGACCGGCGCACGGGUGAGUAACGCGUAUGUAACCUACCCUGUACAGGGGGAUAGCCCGGAGAAAUUCGGAUUAAUACCCCAUAAAGAUAUUUUGAGGCAUCUUAAGAUAUUUAAAGUUUCGACGGUACGGGAUGGGCAUGCGUAACAUUAGCUAGUUGGUAAGGUAACGGCUUACCAAGGCGACGAUGUUUAGGGGUCCUGAGAGGGUGAUCCCCCACACUGGUACUGAGACACGGACCAGACUCCUACGGGAGGCAGCAGUGAGGAAUAUUGGUCAAUGGGCGUAAGCCUGAACCAGCCAUCCCGCGUGAAGGAAGAAGGCGCUAUGCGUUGUAAACUUCUUUUCCAGGGGAAGAAAACCCCCGACGUGUCGGGGCUUGUCGGUACCCUGGGAAUAAGCAUCGGCUAACUCCGUGCCAGCAGCCGCGGUAAUACGGAGGAUGCGAGCGUUAUCCGGAUUUAUUGGGUUUAAAGGGUGCGUAGGCGGAUUAAUAAGUCAGUGGUGAAAACCUUCAGCUUAACUGGAGACUUGCCAUUGAUACUGUUAGUCUUGAGUACGGUCAAGGUAGGCGGAAUGUGUAAUGUAGCGGUGAAAUGCUUAGAUAUUACACAGAACACCGAUUGCGAAGGCAGCUUACUGGGCCAUUACUGACGCUGAUGCACGAAAGCGUGGGGAGCGAACAGGAUUAGAUACCCUGGUAGUC
rnacentral:rRNA from 1 species